CAACGUUGCAAUGUAUCAAAAUUACAUUUAUAACGUCAUCGUGAAAUAUGUCGUAUUAAUACAUCCAAUGUCCUUAAAAAAAUCUUUUAUUACAUUGACAAAGCUGUUGUAUAUCGGCGCUUACAUUUUUGAUCCCUCACUUGUGUUUUAUUGGACAAUUCUAUAUGCAUUCCUGAAGAAAUGUGAUGGAGGGGACGAAACUUAGAAAGAACUCGGGCAAUUACUGGAUCAGUUGUUCAGACGGACCGCUACUGCAACGGUUUUCAAGCAUAGCAUCUCUUGUAAUAAAUCCCGAUAUCAUACAUUUCGUGUAUUGAGAAGAAGACACUGACUCCUACAGCUUACAAAUACCUGGAUAUUGGAAUCGUGGAACCUGUUUUUUGUGGAAAUUGGCGACAACCAAGACGCACAUAAAAACCGAGUCGUUCAUGUAAAAUGGACAUUCGCUGGAUAUAUCCCUGGACGUCAUAUGUGGGCCAACUGACUAGGAAGACGAUCGUCGUGGAGACUUUUCUUCGGAACAUCGUAUUAUAGCAGAUGCACCAGUGCACCUAUAUGAAGCAGUGAGGUAUUUCCGUUGAAAUAAAAAUCUACUGGAGUUUCGAAUUGUGGCGACCAUUCUUCGAUAUAUCCACUCUUAUACCAAGCAUAUUUAAAAAGAUUAUAAAAUUGCG